AUUGAACGCUGGCGGCAGGCCUAACACAUGCAAGUCGAGCGGAUGAAGGGAGCUUGCUCCUGGAUUCAGCGGCGGACGGGUGAGUAAUGCCUAGGAAUCUGCCUGGUAGUGGGGGAUAACGUCCGGAAACGGGCGCUAAUACCGCAUACGUCCUGAGGGAGGAAGUGGGGGAUCUUCGGACCUCACGCUAUCAGAUGAGCCUAGGUCGGAUUAGCUAGUUGGUGGGGUAAAGGCCUACCAAGGCGACGAUCCGUAACUGGUCUGAGAGGAUGAUCAGUCACACUGGAACUGAGACACGGUCCAGACUCCUACGGGAGGCAGCAGUGGGGAAUACUGGACAAUGGGCGAAAGCCUGAUCCAGCCAUGCCGCGUGUGUGAAGAAGGUCUUCGGAUUGUAAAGCACUUUAAGUUGGGAGGAAGGGCAGUAAGUUAAUACCUUGCUGUUUUGACGUUACCAACAGAAUAAGCACCGGCUAACUUCGUG
rnacentral:rRNA from 1 species